UACUAGAGUAGCACUCGCAUAUCAAUAAGCGGAGGAAAAGAAACUAACAAGGAUUCCCCUAGUAACGGCGAGUGAAGCGGGAAGAGCUCAAAUUUGAAAUCUUAAAGGGUUUCCCUUUACGAAUUGUAGUUUAAAGAAGUGUUUUCUGUUGAGGUUUUGGUAAAAGUUCUUUGGAAUAGGACAUCAUAGAGGGUGAGAAUCCCGUAUUUGACCUUUACUUUCAACUUUGUGAUACACUUUCAAAGAGUCGGAUUGUUUGGGAAUGCAGUCCAAAAUGGGUGGUAAAUUUCAUCUAAAGCUAAAUAUUGGCGAGAGACCGAUAGCGAACAAGUACCGUGAGGGAAAGAUGAAAAGAACUUUGAAAAGAGAGUUAAACAGUACGUGAAAUUGUCAAAAGGGAAGCGUUUGACACCAGUGUUGUUUUUCUGAAAAUCAAUUAAAGAACUGUUUAUGCUAAGUUGUUUAGACUAUAUCAGCUAACUGUUUAGUUUUGAGCUUUUCUUUAAUGCACUUUUCAGUUAACAAGUCAACAUCAAUUUCUUUUGCUGUAAAAAAGCUUGAGGAAGGUGGCUUGAGAUUCGUCUUAAGUGUUUAUAGCCUCUUGCCUAUGCAGUCGGAGAGAUUGAGGUCUGCAGCGUAGAUCCUUCGGGGCUAAAUGCAUUUGUGCUAAGUUAUAGCAUUUUAUAGACAACUUGUUGACUAUGAUUUGUCUUGUAGCUUACUCGCUUAUGUUAUUUUACCUACGCUUAGGAUGUGAUAUCGCGCUCUCACUG
rnacentral:rRNA from 1 species